rnacentral:rRNA from 1 species
GUAGGUGGCAAGCGUUGUCCGGAAUUAUUGGGCGUAAAGCGCGCGCAGGGCGGUCCUUUAAGUCUGAUGUGAAAGCCCACGGCUCAACCGUGGAGGGUCAUUGGAAACUGGGGGACUUGAGUACAGAAGAGGAAAGCGGAAUUCCAAGUGUAGCGGUGAAAUGCGUAGAGAUUUGGAGGAACACCAGUGGCGAAGGCGGCUUUCUGGUCUGUAACUGACGCUGAGGCGCGAAAGUGUGGGGAGCAAACAGGAUUAGAUACCCUGGUAGUCCACGCCGUAAACGAUGAGUGCUAAGUGUUAGGGGGUUUCCGCCCCUUAGUGCUGCAGCUAACCCAUUAAGCACUCCGCCUGGGGAGUACGGCCGCAAAGGCUG